GGCCUUAUAGUGUAGUGGUUAUCACGGCGGAUUCUGAUUAUGAAGUUUCCGCCGACCCAGGUUCGAUCCCUGGUAAGGCCU